CUGAGUUCAGGGCAGAGACUCCUUAUCAUCAGUCCUGUUCCACCUGAUGCAUGCACUUGAAGAGCUGCAUGUGAACUGGGCCUUUAUUUAACACUGACCCUCUGCUAAUAAUCGGGAAAUGGAAGAUGGUGUAAAGCACCAAUGCAUCAGCUGACACCGUAAACCAUAAGUGCAAAGCUUGUGUCUGUCGUGAAAGGUAGUUACUACAUUCCUGGGCUGUGGAGUAUUGCUAACAGAAUAUCUGACAAAGAGCCUCAAACAUCCUGCAGCCCCUGUACAUUUCCUUUGAUCAGUAUUUCCCAGUUUAUAAAUCAGGACAGGAAAAGAGAAAGACCACAUAAGUUGAUAUUUAUUGGCAAGUGUAUGAAUGUUGCACAUACCUGGGGCAGGAUUUUCCCAUUGGCG